rnacentral:rRNA from 1 species
GAUGAACGCUAGCGAUAGGCUUAACACAUGCAAGUCGAGGGGCAGCAUGGUCUUAGCUUGCUAAGACUGAUGGCGACCGGCGCACGGGUGCGUAACGCGUAUGCAACUUGCCUCACAGAGGGGGAUAACCCGUCGAAAGACGGACUAAUACCGCGUACACUCCAUCUUGGGCAUCCAAGGUAGAGGAAAUGAAAUUCGCUGUGAGAUAGGCAUGCGUCCCAUUAGCUAGUUGGUGAGGUAACGGCUCACCAAGGCGACGAUGGGUAGGGGAACUGAGAGGUUGAACCCCCACACUGGUACUGAGACACGGACCAGACUCCUACGGGAGGCAGCAGUGAGGAAUAUUGGUCAAUGGGCGAGAGCCUGAACCAGCCAAGUCGCGUGAAGGAUGACUGUCUUAUGGAUUGUAAACUUCUUUUAUACGGGAAUAACAAGAGUCACGUGUGACUCCCUGCAUGUACCGUACUAAUAAGCAUCGGCUAACUCCGUG